AUUGAACGCUGGCGGCAUGCUUUACACAUGCAAGUCGAACGGUAACAGGCCUUCGGGUGCUGACGAGUGGCGAACGGGUGAGUAAUGCAUCGGAACGUGCCCAGAGGUGGGGGAUAACGCAGCGAAAGCUGUGCUAAUACCGCAUGUGAUCUGAGGAUGAAAGCGGGGGACCAGGCAGCAAUGUUUGGCCUCGCGCCUUUGGAGCGGCCGAUGUCAGAUUAGGUAGUUGGUGGGGUAAAGGCCUACCAAGCCGACGAUCUGUAGCUGGUCUGAGAGGACGACCAGCCACACUGGGACUGAGACACGGCCCAGACUCCUACGGGAGGCAGCAGUGGGGAAUUUUGGACAAUGGGCGCAAGCCUGAUCCAGCAAUGCCGCGUGCGGGAAGAAGGCCUUCGGGUUGUAAACCGCUUUUGUACGGAACGAAAAGGCUCUGGCUAAUACCUGGGGCUGAUGACGGUACCGUAAGAAUAAGCACCGGCUGACUACGUG
rnacentral:rRNA from 1 species